AUUGAACGCUGGCGGGAUGCUUUACACAUGCAAGUCGAACGAGUGGCGGACGGGUGAGUAAUAUAGCGGACCGUGCCCAGUAGCGGGGGAUAACUACUCGAAAGAGUGGAUUAUACCGCAUUCUCAUGGAGGGGCCGAUAUCGGAUUAGCUAGUUGGUGGGGUAAAGGCUCACCAAGGACACGAUCCGUAGCUGGUUUGAGAGGACGACCAGCCACACUGGGACUGAGACACGGCCCAGACUCCUACGGGAGGCAGCAGUGGGGAAUUGUGGACAAUGGGGGAAACCCUGAUCCAGCCAUCCCGCGUGUAUGAGAAGGCCUUCGGGUUGUAAAGUACUUUUGGCAGAGAAGCGGUACCUGCAGAAUAAGCACCGGCUAACUACGUGCCAGCAGCCGCGGUAAUAC
rnacentral:rRNA from 1 species